rnacentral:rRNA from 1 species
UACCAGCACCCCGAGUGGUCGGGACGUUUUAUUGGGCCUAAAGCAUCCGUAGCCGGUUCUACAAGUCUUCCGUUAAAUCCAGCUGCUUAACAGAUGGGCUGCGGAAGAUACUAUGGAGCUAGGAGGCGGGAGAGGCAAGCGGUACUCGAUGGGUAGGGGUAAAAUCCGUUGAUCCAUUGAAGACCACCAGUGGCGAAGGCGGCUUGCCAGAACGCGCUCGACGGUGAGGGAUGAAAGCUGGGGGAGCAAAGCCGG